GACGAACGCUGGCGGCGUGCCUAAUACAUGCAAGUCGAACGCUUCUUUCCUCCCGAGUGCUUGCACUCAAUUGGAAAGAGGAGUGGCGGACGGGUGAGUAACACGUGGGUAACCUACCCAUCAGAGGGGGAUAACACUUGGAAACAGGUGCUAAUACCGCAUAACAGUUUAUGCCGCAUGGCAUAAGAGUGAAAGGCGCUUUCGGGUGUCGCUGAUGGAUGGACCCGCGGUGCAUUAGCUAGUUGGUGAGGUAACGGCUCACCAAGGCCACGAUGCAUAGCCGACCUGAGAGGGUGAUCGGCCGAACUGGGACUGAGACACGGCCCAGACUCCUACGGGAGGCAGCAGUAGGGAAUGUUCGGCAAUGGACGGAAGUCUGACCGAGCAACGCCGCGUGAGUGAAGAAGGUUUUCGGAUCGUAAAACUCUGUUGUUAGAGAAGAACAAGGACGUUAGUAACUGAACGUCCCCUGACGGUAUCUAACCAGAAAGCCACGGCUAACUACGUGCCAGCCGCCGCGGUAA
rnacentral:rRNA from 1 species